rnacentral:lncRNA from 1 species
UACCAUCCAGGCAAAGCGAACGUAGUGGCAGAUGCUUUGAGCAGGAAGAGUCAAGUCAAUAUGAUGGUCGCUCAUCUGAUGCCUUAUGAGUUGGCCAAACAGUUUGACAGGUUGAGUCUCGGAUUUCUGAACAAUAUGCGAGGAGUGACAGUUGAGUUGGAGCCAACCCUAGAGCGGGAAAUCAAAGAAGCACAGAAGAAUGAUGAGAAGAUCAAUGAAGUCCGGCAAUUGAUUCUAGAAGGCAGAGGUUAAGACUUUCGGGAAGAUGCAGAAGGUGUGAUAUGGUUCAAAGACCGCUUGUGUGUUCCCAAUGUUCAGUCCAUUCGGGAGUUGAUCCUCAAGGAAGCUCAUGAGAUAGCUUAUUCUAUACACCCUGGAAGUGAGAAGAUGUAUCAGGAUCUGAAGAAAAAGUUCUGGUGGUAUAGAAUGAAGAGGGAAAUCGCAGAGCACGUGGCUAUGUGUGAUAGCUGUCGACGGAUCAAGGCAGAGCAUUAGAGAUCAGCUGGGUUGUUGCAACCGUUGCGAAUUCCCAGUGGGAAUGUGAUGAAAUUGGUAUGGAUUUCAUAGUCGGAUUGCCUCGCACUCGAGCUGGCUAUGAUUCCAUUUGGGUAGUGGUGGAUCACUUAACCAAGUCAGCCCACUUCAUACCUGUCAAGACCAACUAUAGCAGUGCAGUAUUGGCAGAGUUGUACAUGUCCCGGAUCAUUUGUCUUCACGAUGUACCAAAGAAGAUAGUGUCAGACAGAGGAACGCAGUUCACCUCUCAUUUCUGGCAGCAGUUGCAUGAAGCCUUGGGUACACAUCUGAAUUUCAGUUUAGCCUACCAUCCGCAGAUAGACGGUCAGACUGAAAGAACUAAUCAAAUCCUCAAAGACAUGUUGAGAGCUUGUGCGUUGCAAGAUCAGUCCGGAUGGGACAAGAGGUUACCUUAUGCAGAGUUCUCCUAUAACAACAGUUACCAGGCUAGCUUGAAGAUGUCACCAUUUCAGGCGCUUUAUGGAAGGAGUUGUAGAACUCCGUUGCAAUGGGAUCAGCCUGGAGAAAAGCAAGUGUUUGGGCCAGACAUUUUGCUUGAAGCUGAAGAGAACAUAAAGAUGGUUUGGGAGAAUUUGAAGAUAGCGCAAUCAAGACAGCGAAGUUAUGCAGACACAAGAAGGAGAGAGCUUAGUUUCGAAGUUGGAUAUUUUGUCUAUUUGAAAGUUUCGCCUAUCAGAGGAUUUAGAAGAAUCAGAGUCAAAGGCAAGUUAGCACCCCGCUACAUCAGUCUGUAUCAGAUUCUUGCAAGGCUUGGAGAAGUGGCCUAUCAGCUCAGCCUGCCAGAAAAUGUCUGACAUGCAUGAUGUCUUUCAUGUGUCCUAGUUGAAGAAAUGUCUGCGUGUGCCAGAAGAGCAGUUGCCAGUGUAGGGUCUUGAAAUCCAAGAAGAUUUGACCUAUAUUGAGAAGCCAACGCAAAUUAUUGAGACUGCAGACAGAGUCACCCGGAGGAAAACUAUCAGAAUGUGCAAAGUCAGAUGGGGUCAUCACUCCGAAGAAGAGGCAACUUGGGAGCGUGAAGAUGAUCUGAUGGCUAAAUAUCCUAAACUCUUUGCUAGCCAACCUUGAAUCUCGAGGGUGAGAUUCUUUUAAGGGGGAUAGGUUUGUAACGCCUCGAAUUUGAGAGUUAAAUUUUUUUUUCUCCAGCACUCACCAAAUUCGGGCGUUACCUUUCCUCUUUCUUUUCUUCUCGCUAAGCCUUGUUCUUUUUCAAAGUUCUAGCGAGAAUUAGCUCGACAUCUUGUGUAGGUGAACCCUGGAAAUAUUUUCUUUGGUUGUUGCAUCGUGCUGAGCCAUGCAUCUAUUUCCUUUUGUGUGUAUUUGCUUGGUUUCGACAAAGUAUGCAUUUAGUAGAAGGUUAGAGAUGAAAUAGAUAAUAGGAAAAUAAGAAGAAAAUAAAAAGGGAAAACUCUCCCUUUCUCCUUUCAGCCCAGCCGCAGCCCUUUUUCAUUCCUUAUCUUUCCCCCCUCCUCCUUUCCCUCCCGCGCGGCCUAGCCGAGCCCCCCCUCUCUCCCGCGACCUACGCCCUGCGCCCCCCCCCCCCCACGCGCGCCGCGCGCAGCGCGGGUGGUUGCAGCCGCCGCCGCCACCCCCUGGUGGGGCCCACCCAUCAACCCACCCCCCCAAAACCACCUCCCUCUCUCUCCUCUACCCCCCCGCCCCCGUGCAGCUCGUCCCUCUCCUCCACCUCGCCGCCGCUCGGAACCGCCGGCCACCUACGCCGCCCUCGGCCCCGCGCGGUGAGCCCCGUCCCCCCCUCUCUCCCCCGCCCACCCCACUUCUUCCUUGGGCCCGAUGGCCACGGCGCCCGUUCGGCACGGCGUGGUCGCCCCGGCGCGGCCCCCUCCCUCUCCCUCGCGCUCACCCUCGCCCCGGCUCGCCCGCUCCUUCCCGCGGUGCGGUGCGCCCGCCCCAGCCCGCCCUGCGCAACCCGGCCCCUCCCCGCGCGGCAGCCUACCCCAGCGCGCUCGCCCCGGCUCGCCACCCCAUGCCUGCGGCUCGGCCAGCACGCGACGCCCCGGCAUAGCGCCCGGCGCGACUGCUUGCUCCCUCGAGUCCGGCGCGGUGUGCGCGGCCCCCUGCGCUCGUCCCCGGCGCGACGCGCGAUGCCUUGGAGCGGUUUGCCAUGCUCCCGGCGCGACGCGUAGCGCUCCGCCACGCAAGUGACGUGCCCGUCUACCCCUAGACUAGCCCAUCUACCCCCCCCCCCCCCCGUGUAUUUUAUGCGCGUUGAGCGUGUCGUUUAUUUUAUGUAGUUGAGCUCCACUUAGAAUUGAUCACGUUAAUUAUCUCACGUAGUUAAAUGACGACUUAAGUAAUGUCGGCCAAUUGGAAUAAUUGUAACUCUGUUAGUGUAUGUGAUUAAUACCUGUUUGUAUGACUAGGUAGAGUUGGACGAAGUAAUGAUUAAUUGCACACCCACACGUAAUACGUUUCGACUAUAGAUUUAACCGUUGCGAGUCCCUUCUUUUUCUCUUUCUAGCAAUUGCGAAUGCAAAUCGUAUGUCAUAUCAUAUGCAUAUUCAAUUGAUCUGCUCUCUUGUAUGGUGUACUGUUUAUUUCCUAAUUCAAAGAUAUGGAUGUAUGUUUGCACUUGCAUAGAUAACGGUCUGGUUGAGGAGUCCGAAGAACUUGCGGGAGAAGACCCUGAGCAGCAGCUGGUUGGUGGAGGCAAGUGUCCCUUGACCCACUUAUGUCCUAUACAUUCCUCAAUUCACUUUCCGCAUUUACACAGUUUAUACCUAAGGAUUGACUAGCUUUUGUUAUCCAUUUCCUUGCUUACCUAUUUGGGUCAAAUUAUUCUGGUUUAGCUUCAUGCUAGUGCUUCACAUUAAUCAAUGAACAUGAUGAGAUUUAUCAAUGAUACACUGUUUCCCUUCUUUAUUAUGAUGAUAUACUUGUGGCAUUUAAGGGGACUCGAGCGGUUUCUCGAGUGCCUCUCCGUAAGGACCUAUUCGUUGGAUGACCGCCUAGGAAAACAGUACAACCAUGAGGGUGGAAUGGGACACCCUUAGCUUAAUAAUUAGAGGAACCGGGGUGUAGUUCGCUUCGCCGUCGUGCCGUUAAUGGGGCUCGGUGUAUGCGGCUCGCUCUGCCAAGGUUGGUUUUGCCCCUUGGGGAGGAGUGCUGUACAUUUAGGAAACCUAACGGGCGGCUACAGCCCCUGGGAAUCUUUGUAAAGGGCACGUAGUGAUACCCUACUGGGUCAACUUGGUAGUGAUCAAUGGAGAGUCAUGAUCUCCGGGCAGAAAGGAAACCACGACUUGUGGGUAAAGUGCGCAACCUCUACAGAGUGUUAUGAAAACUGAUAUAUCAGUCGUGCUCGCGGUUAUGAGCGGCCAAGGGAGCUCCAUUGAUUAGAGAUACUUGAUCAGAGAUGUUCGGAUUACAGGUGGUGAUGAGAAUGAUGAUUUUGGUAUUGACUAUGGUAAUGGUAAGUGGUAUUCUUUCCGUUUGGAAAGGGUACUUUUGGGUUAACAACUUGGGUUAAUACUAAAAUCUGGCUCUCUCUACUAGUAAUAAUAAUCUGACCAACUAAAAGCAACUGCUUGACUUAUCCCCACAUAAAGCUAGUCCACUACAGCCAAACAGGCCAUUUGCUGAGUAUGUUGAUGUGUACUCACCCUUGCUCUACACACCAACCCCCCCUUCCACUACACCAAAAUAGUAAACUCUCGGAAGUUAAGCCAUCCCGUCGGAAGUUUGGCUCUCGAAAUUUUUUUGUCGGAAGUUAGCUUAACUUCCUAGAGGGCUCUAGGAAGUUACCUAACUUCCUACGGCUUAAGAAACCUCUCGGAAGUUAGUAGAUUCUCGGAAGUUAGUAGUUUCACGCCGUCAGCGCCGUCAGCUGACUAACUUCCUACGGCUUACUGUAGCCCCUAGGAAGUUAGCUGGCUAACUUCCUACGGCUUACUGUAGCCUCUAGGAAGUUAAUUUGACCAACAUUACAAAUGCUGUUUAUAUUUUACACCACAUUCCAGAAAAUAACAAAUAUAUCAACAGCUAUAUAGCACAACAUAUUAUCGCAUAAAACAUCUCACACACAAUCACAUAACAAUAUUUAAAUCCAUAGUCUCAUCAAUUAUUACAUCACAAAAGUCUCAUCCAUAGUCUUAUCAUCACAAAAGUCUCACACAUAUCAUCAUCCAGAGACAAUAUCUCAUACAUAGUCAUAAUAAAAGUCUCAAGUAUCAGAAUGCAAUAACAUGGAAGCUCACGGUCACGAUAAGCUUAAUUAACCUAACUAUAUGCAGCGGUUAGCCACCAUAUUAUUAAUCAAACAUAAACUUAAUUUUAGCCAUAACAUACAAGAUUAAUUUUAGCCAUAACAUACAAGAUUAAUUUUAGCCAUAACAUACAAGAUUAAUUUUCAUCGAAGGUCCUCACCCAUCAUAUUAUUAAUCAAACAUAAACUUAAUUUUAGCCAUAACAUACAAGAUUAAUUUUAGCCAUAACAUACAAGAUUAAUUUUCAUCGAAGGUCCUCACCCACCAUAUUAUUAAUCAAACAUAAACUUAAUUUUAGCCAUAACAUACAAGAUUAAUUUUAGCCAUAACAUACAAGAUUAAUUUUAGCCAUAACAUACAAGAUUAAUUUUCAUCAAAGGUCCUCACCCAUCAUAUUAUUAAUCAAACAUAAACUUAAUUUUAUCCAUAACAUACAAGAUUAAUUUUAGCCAUAACAUACAAGAUUAAUUUUAGCCAUAACAUACAAGAUUAAUUUUCAUCGAAGGUCCUCACCCACCAUAUUAUUAAUCAAACAUAAACUUAAUUUUAGCCAUAACAUACAAGAGUUUAGCAUAGCUAAACUAUAUGCAGCGGUUAGCCAAUCAAGUUAAUUAACCUAUCUACCUACGACAUUAUUUGAGUAAACUCUCGGAAGUUAGCACAUUAAAUAAAAAAAUAAAAAACGUAUAAACACGGUACCUGACGGUUGCAGCGGGUGCGGAUCGAUGAUUUGGGUCGGGAACGUCCACGGCGGGGUCGGUGGCUGCGCAGCGGGCGCCGACGAGCGGGGUCGACGGGGGGCGGGGCCGCCGUGCGCACGAACGCCAGGCACUACCUGGGGCGGGCGCUGCCGGGGCGGGCUCCUCGUGGACGGGCACUGCCGGGGGUGGGAGAGACGGUCGCGGGGUGGAAGCUGCCGGGGGCGGGCGCUGCCGGAGCGAGCUCCUCGGGGGCGGACGCGGUUGGGAGACCGGCGGGCGGCGAGUACUCGAGGCCGGGACGGCGGCCGCGGUUGGGAGACCGGCGGGCGGCGGCUCCUCGCGGCAGACAGGCGACCAGCGCGGCCGGACCGACGGGCGCGACCGGCGCGGUCUGGACGGCGGGCGCGGCCGGCGCGGUCUGGACGGCGGGCACGGCCGGCAGCGGGCGGCGGCCGGGGGCGGCCGGGGCGGGCGGCGGCAGGGCAGGGGCGGCGCGAAGGAGAAUGGCGCGCGGGCGUCUGAGAGAUGAGAGAAGAUAUUUUGUGAAAGGUGAGAGAAGAGGGAGGUAAAAGCUAAAAACAUAACUUCCUAGAGUAAAGCCGUAGGAAGUUAGGUAACUUCUUAGGGUUUAUUCUUUGCUCUAGGAAGUUAAUUAACUUCCU